CCUAACACAUGCAAGUCGAACGGUAACAGGAAGAAGCUCGCUUCUCUGCUGACGAGUGGCGGACGGGUGAGUAAUGUCUGGGAAACUGCCUGAUGGAGGGGGAUAACUACUGGAAACGGUAGCUAAUACCGCAUAACGUCGCAAGACCAAAGAGGGGGACCCUCGGGCCUCUUGCCAUCGGAUGUGCCCAGAUGGGAUUAGCUUGUUGGUGGGGUAACGGCUCACCAAGGCGACGAUCCCUAGCUGGUCUGAGAGGAUGACCAGCCACACUGGAACUGAGACACGGUCCAGACUCCUACGGGAGGCAGCAGUGGGGAAUAUUGCACAAUGGG
rnacentral:rRNA from 1 species